AUGCAAGUCGAGCGGGGGAAGGUAGCUUGCUACCGGACCUAGCGGCGGACGGGUGAGUAAUGUUUAGGAAUCUGCCUAUUAGUGGGGGACAACAUCUCGAAAGGGAUGCUAAUACCGCAUACGUCCUACGGGAGAAAGCAGGGGAUCUUCGGACCUUGCGCUAAUAGAUGAGCCUAAGUCGGAUUAGCUAGUUGGUGGGGUAAAGGCCUACCAAGGCGACGAUCUGUAGCGGGUCUGAGAGGAUGAUCCGCCACACUGGGACUGAGACACGGCCCAGACUCCUACGGGAGGCAGCAGUGGGGAAUAUUGGACAAUGGGGGGAACCCUGAUCCAGCCAUGCCGCGUGUGUGAAGAAGGCCUUAUGGUUGUAAAGCACUUUAAGCGAGGAGGAGGCUACUUUAGUUAAUACCUAGAGAUAGUGGACGUUACUCGCAGAAUAAGCACCGGCUAACUCUGUGCCAGCAGCCGCGGUAAUACAGAGGGUGCGAGCGUUAAUCGGAUUUACUGGGCGUAAAGCGUGCGUAGGCGGCUUAUUAAGUCGGAUGUGAAAUCCCCGAGCUUAACUUGGGAAUUGCAUUCGAUACUGGUGAGCUAGAGUAUGGGAGAGGAUG
rnacentral:rRNA from 1 species